rnacentral:rRNA from 1 species
AACGAACGCUGGCGGCAGGCUUAAUACAUGCAAGUCGAGGGGCAGCGCAGUGUAGCAAUACAUGGGCGGCGACCGGCAAACGGGUGCGGAACACGUACGCAACCUUCCUUUAAGUGGGGGAUAGCCCAGGGAAACUUGGAUUAAUACCCCGUAAUAUUAUGAAGUGGCAUCACUUUAUACUUAUAGCUCCGGCGCUUAAAGAUGGGCGUGCGACUGAUUAGGUAGUUGGCGGGGUAACGGCCCACCAAGCCUGCGAUCAGUAACUGGUGUGAGAGCACGACCAGUCACACGGGCACUGAGACACGGGCCCGACUCCUACGGGAGGCAGCAGUAAGGAAUAUUGGUCAAUGGACGCAAGUCUGAACCAGCCAUGCCGCGUGGAGGAUGAAGGUCCUCUGGAUUGUAAACUUCUUUUAUUUGGGAAGAAACCCACUGUUUCUACGGUGGUUGACGGUACCAGAUGAAUAAGCACCGGCUAACUCCGUGCCAGCCGCCGCCGUAAGAC